AUGCCGGUUCACUCUCGGGAGAAGAAAGAAAGUAACCACGAAGAAAUGGAGGUGGAUUUUCCCGAGCAGGACGGCAGCAGCACAGACGAGGAGGACACUGUUAGCUCGUCCGUGUCUGAAGAUGGAGACAGCUCGGAGAUGGAUGAUGAGGACUGUGAGAGGAGGAGGAUGGAGUGCCUAGAUGAGAUGACCACUCUGGAGAAACAGUUCACCGACCUGAAGGAGCAGUUGUACAAGGAGCGUCUGAGCCAGGUGGACAUCAAGCUGCAGGAGGUGAUGGCUGGCUGUGCCCAGGAGUACCUGGAACCUUUGGCCAACCUGCAGGAGAACAUGCAGAUCAGGACCAAAGUAGCCGGGAUCUACAGGGAGCUGUGCUUGGAGUCUGUGAAGAACAAGUACGAGUGUGAGAUCCAGGCUGCCUGCCAACACUGGGAGAGUGAGAAGCUGCUGCUGUUUGACACUGUGCAGAGUGAACUGGAGGAGAAGAUAAGAAGAUUGGAGGAAGACAGACACAGUAUUGACAUUACCUCAGAGUUGUGGAAUGAUGGAUUGCACUCACGGAAAAACAAGAAGAAAGACCCAUUCUGCCCCGUCAAGAAGAAGAAGCCCGUCGUUGUCUCUGGGCCUUAUAUCGUUUAUAUGCUGCAGGACCUUGAUAUUCUGGAAGACUGGACCGCGAUAAGAAAGUUGUGUCUGUUCCCCUCUCCCCCACAGGCGAUGGCAUCGCUGGGGCCACACAGGGUGAAGGUGGAUGUCCCUGCAGUCAAGCCUGACCGACAUCAACACGUGGCGCACCUCGAGGAUGGACGGCUUUUCUACGACAACCAGUGGUACUGCAGGGGACAGGCCAUCUGCAUCAACAGGAAGGACGAGUACCCGGCUAGGUGUGUUUGUGUGUGAGCAGGGUUUAUGGUAUGAUGUUGAUUAAAGCACCUGUCGGUUCUGAUGCUAAAAGGUGUGUGCACUCGUCUGUAAAAGUGAGUGUGAGUCUGGGUCACGUGGUGGAUUGGUUGGUAAUGGAAAUGACAAAGACUGUGAGUAUUAGGCUGAAUGAUUGUGGAUCCACAUUCUGCCCUGUGUGUCAGUGAAUAGAGAGAAUGUAUUGAUGUUUCCACAGCACCGCUGAGUGGAGACGACAGGUGGCUGCUAUGAACGGGUAGAGCUGGACAUCCAUGCAGCAGAGCACACCACACAGCCGGUGGACAUUAACAUGUAGCCAGGAAUGAAGUUGUCCUGCACCAGAUCUCACCUUAACUGAACACCUCUGGAGGAUGCAAUCAUCAAAACACCAAAAGAGGAAUAAAGUGUAUUAAUGCGGUUCAUCCCAUCAGAGAGACACUGUGCUACGGAGCACCAGGGGCCAGAUGCUUAGAACUCUGUCGCCAUCAUCACCACCAUCAACAACGACGAGGUGUGGUUCAAACGACUGGACGGCACCAAGUCCAAGCUGUACAUCUCCCAGCUGCA